rfam:Aedes aegypti strain Liverpool supercont1.994 genomic scaffold, whole genome shotgun sequence.
CCCAAGGUUUUUUUUAAAACCAUCUGUAGAAUUUGUGAGAAUGCUG